rnacentral:lncRNA from 1 species
AAAAGAUUCUUGCCAAUCAUCUUUCUUGCCCAAAUCAGCGGAAUGAAUGUUUUUGCAUCCCGCAGUUUUGAAAACCAUCGAGGAAUUGAGGUGAUGGAUAAGGAAGGCCAUGUCAUAGGCUAUUCCAGAAAAGCUGGGAGAAAGGCUAUUAAAGAAACAGCGAAGUCCAGAGCAGUGCUGUUUGGGACCUCAGCCUUGGCCCCUGAACUCUUUAUCCAUAUUUUUAAAAGGACGCGGUUUUACCCACAGACUCUGCUGGCAUCAGUGAUCUUGAGAAUGAGCUCUACACUCUUUAUGAUGGGCCUGAUGGUGCCAGUGUCGUUCAGCAUGUUUCCACAAAUUGGACAGAUCCAGUGCAGUCAGCUUGAAGAGAUGAUUCGGUCUUCUACAGAAGAAAAGGAACUCUUCUAUUACAGAGGGGUAUAGCUGCAAGUUUAUCUCCUGUUUGGAAACCUUUGACCUCUCAAGGUUUAUUUAGAGAGCACUGCCAUGGUCCUCAGGGUUCCCAGCAACACUUGUGCAGCAAGCUGGCUUCAGUGCCUACUGUACCUGGGGCUCUGAGUCUGACGGAAAGAAGAGCAGCACCCAGAGGACUGCUGAGAGAACCGUGGAUGAAGUAAGAGUCAGCCUGGGAAAGGAUAAUGUGAACCUGUGAAUAAACCUGCCUGAAGUGGAGUACUUGAAAA